ACCUGACUCCAUGCCGAACUCAGUAGUGAAACGAAGCAGCGCCGAUGGUAGUGUGGGGUCUCCCCAUGUGAGAGUAGGACAUCGCCAGGC
rnacentral:rRNA from 2 species